rnacentral:rRNA from 1 species
ACUCAAAUGAAUAGACGGGGGCCCGCACAAGCGGUGGAGCAUGUGGUUUAAUUCGAAGCAACGCGAAGAACCUUACCAAGGCUUGACAUCCUUCUGACAGAUGUAGAGAUACAUUUUUCUUCGGACAGAAGUGACAGGUGGUGCAUGGUUGUCGUCAGCUCGUGUCGUGAGAUGUUGGGUUAAGUCCCGCAACGAGCGCAACCCUUAUCUUUAGUAGCGACCGCUUAGGGCGAGCACACUAGAGAGACUGCCGUGGAUAACACGGAGGAAGGUGGGGAUGAUGUCAAAUCAGCAUGCCCCUUAUGUCUUGGGCUACACACGUGCUACAAUGGCUUAUACAAAGAGAGGCAAGACGGCGACGUGGAGCAAAUCUCAAAAAGUAAGUCACAGUUCGGAUUGUAGUCUGCAACUCGACUACAUGAAGCUGGAAUCGCUAGUAAUCGCGAAUCAUCAUGUCGCGGUGAAUACGUUCCCGGGCCUUGCACACACCGCCCGU